UCGUGGCGUGCUCCCGCCGCUCUUCUGCAGGGCGCCAGGAUCACCGCCAGGAUAGCUAUUCUGGUGUCUGGUGAUGCCACAGCUCUUGCGGCUUCUGUCAGGCGAGACCUCUACAUCGCCUGGCUCUGGUGGUCAGUGGGGCUUAUGCUCGUGGAUCCUACAGGACUCUCAACAACAGAGAAAGAGUUAUUUAACGGCCAGGAUCUCCAGAGCGCAGCAAGAGGCAACAGACGAAGCAGCUUGUAUUCACUUAUUGUGAAGGAAAUCUGAUUUGAUUUACAGAAAUCAUUGCCUAGCCAUUCUGCCAAGUUCCUCAGUCCAGCCCCUCUGUGACUUCUUGAAGCACAUUUCCAAAACCCUACUUACAUCAUGGUGUUACCUGAUGAUGGGCUCCAGCAUUUCUUCAUGAAACCAAUAAUCAGAGAUUUCUUUCUUUAAAUCAGAGAUUUAAAUAUUGAUUGUUUAAAUAAACUAAAAUGGAAUGUUUAGAAUGAGGACUUGGCUGCUUAAAGCUUAUCUGUUAAAAAUUAUCAAAUAGGUUUAUGAUGACUACUAAUUGUGAUUUAUAUUAAAUUACAUUCAGGUGUGAAAAUGAGUAGGGAAAAAAGUAUGAUUUCUAAUUGAUAAUAACCUCUGAUAUAAUGAAAAUCAUUUAAAUGUAACAUAUAAAUACUUUUAAUUAAUAUAUUGUGUUGGUUAAGGUAUAUUAGUAGUGAUAGAAGCAACACUAGUGAGGCACUUGGCUGUCUCAGUUGGUGAGCAUGCGACUCUUGCUCUCAGGGUUGUGAGUUUGAGCCCCACGUUGAGUUUGGAAAUUACUUAAAAAUAAAAUCUUAAAAAAAGCAAAGUAACACUGGUGGCAAUGAUAGUAGGUAUUUGAUGGAAUACAUACUGAUUGUGACAAGGACCUUACAUACGUUGUCCCUAUGACAUAGGUACUAAUACCAUCCUACAAUUUAUAGCCUUAUCUUAAUUAUCUUAAUUUCACAAAUUAGCCUAUAGCCUUUUUUUUCCCAGAUCCUAAGUAACUAUCAGCCCUCUAUUUUUAUCAAUCAAUAAAAAUCUCAUGUUUCUUGCUCUUCCCAUAUAGGCAUGUGCAAUACAGCAGCUUAGGGAAAUAAAAUAUCUUCUAUUGUGAAAUAUUACACUUCUCUAAAUCAAGAUUUAUUAUAGCUGUUUGAAGCUUCCACCUGGGGGAAUUUUCUGUCAUACAAGUCAAAGAACUUCUAUUUGUUCUGCCUAGUUUAGCUUUUCUCUCGACUUUGCUGAAUAAAAUAAAAAGAUGUGACAAAAGGAGACAUUAAUAUCCACAAAUCCAUCUCUGCAGAAGUGAAAAUCGGUAGCUUUUAUGAUUCCUUUGGCAAGAGACUCCUUUUAAAAGGGAGUAGCAAUUAUAAAUAAUACUAAUAGCUGGGGCUCUAGUAAUAGUAGUCCAUUUAUCUUAGAACUUUUUUAUGUACUUUUAUUUUUCCAUGUGAAUCAAGAUAGAAUAAAGUUCGUACUAUCUUUAUUAUAGGUGUGAUGUAGAAGUGGGUUAGGAAAAAAAAUGUAAGUAAUUUUUUUUGUCUGUUACAGUGUGCCAUAAAGAAUCAUCAAGCA